GUGGGGAAUAUUGGACAAUGGGCGAAAGCCUGAUCCAGCCAUGCCGCGUGUGUGAAGAAGGUCUUCGGAUUGUAAAGCACUUUAAGUUGGGAGGAAGGGCAGUAAGUUAAUACCUUGCUGUUUUGACGUUACCGACAGAAUAAGCACCGGCUAACUUCGUGCCAGCAGCCGCGGUAAUACGAAGGGUGCAAGCGUUAAUCGGAAUUACUGGGCGUAAAGCGCGCGUAGGUGGUUUUGUAAGUUGGAGGUGAAAUCCCCGGGCUCAAACUGGGAACUGCCUCCAAAACUGCAUGACUAGAGUACGGUAGAGGGUAGUGGAAUUUCCUGUGUAGCGGUGAAAUGCGUAGAUAUAGGAAGGAACACCAGUGGCGAAGGCGACUACCUGGACUGAUACUGACACUGAGGUGCGAAAGCGUGGGGAGCAAACAGGAUUAGAAACCCUUGUAGUCC
rnacentral:rRNA from 1 species